rfam:Ictidomys tridecemlineatus contig047697, whole genome shotgun sequence.
CUGUUAUAUAAAGCAAGGCGUCCUUGUGGGUGACCCAUGUCACUGGCUGCACGCAGCAGCUUCCCCACAGCGUGAGCCGCCUGUUGCUUGCCUGGGCUGCCCUAGGGGACCUUGGAGGCAGCC